UGCGUAGGCGGGUUCUUAAGUCAGGGGUGAAAUCCUGGAGCUCAACUCCAGAACUGCCUUUGAUACUGAGAGUCUUGAGUUCGGGAGAGGUGAGUGGAACUGCGAGUGUAGAGGUGAAAUUCGUAGAUAUUCGCAAGAACACCAGUGGCGAAGGCGGCUCACUGGCCCGAUACUGACGCUGAGGCAAGACGUGGGGAGGCAACA
rnacentral:rRNA from 1 species